rnacentral:tRNA from 1 species
GCCGGAGUGGCGGAAUUGGCAGACGCCUGGGACUUAAAAUCCCAUGGGUGGUAACGCCCGUACGAGUUCGAGCCUCGUCUCCGGCACCA